UUAUUAAAUGCAAUGCAAAUCGCUGAAAGUGUUAAAUCACUGCAAUCAUUAUAAUGAUUUGCAUUUUUUCAGUAAUUGAACAAAUACCAGCGGGCAGCCAGCGGGUCAGUUGCUGGUAACAAUUUGCAGAACGAUUCCACGGUGAUCGUUGCAUCGUCGUCAAUUAGUGAAAUCACUACUUUUCCGGCAGCCGCAACAAACGCUGGCCCAAGCCUGCAAAUUAUUGCCAGCAACUACUUAAAAAUUCACUUUGUAAACAAACCUUCACACACAUCAAGCGGCUCAUCUGGAUGAAAUGAAAAGGCUGUUAGAUGUAAUGCAGGAACGUGCUCCCGAUGUUGAACAUCAGUUCAAAGAAAAGUCAAAUGAGUUGGAAAUGGCGCAGCUUAUCAUACGCCAGUUGUCGGAUAAGGCCAAUGUAAACCAAGGCGGCAAUCGUAUAGAGACCUUGAUGUAGACGCAAUUUAUGUACGAGGAACAGAUUAGAGACUUACAAUCUAUGGUGCAGGAAUUUAUGAUGGUCACAAAAUAUAUUGGCAAAAACAUAGCAAGUGCAUAUGCCAAG